rnacentral:rRNA from 1 species
UUGAACGCGAAAGGAACUUACCAGGUCUUGACAUCCUCUGACAACCCUAGAGAUAGGGCCUCCCCUUCGGGGAGCAGAGUGACAGGUGGUGCAUGGUUGUCGUCAGCUCGUGUCGUGAGAUGUUGGGUUAAGUCCCGCAACGAGCGCAACCCUUGAUCUUAGUUGCCAGCAUUCAGUUGGGCACUCUAAGGUGACUGCCGGUGACAAACCGGAGGAAGGUGGGGAUGACGUCAAAUCAUCAUGCCCCUUAUGACCUGGGCUACACACGUGCUACAAUGGGCAGAACAAAGGGCAGCGAAGCCGCGAGGCUAAGCCAAUCCCACAAAUCUGUUCUCAGUUCGGAUCGCAGUCUGCAACUCGACUGCGUGAAGCUGGAAUCGCAUAGUAAUCGCGGAUCAGCAUGCCGCGGUGAAUACGUUCCCGGGUCUUGUACACACGCA